GGGGUUGUGGCUCGGUGGGAGAGUGCUCACCUAGCACGUGUGAGGCGCUGGGUUCAAUCCUCAGCACCACA
rnacentral:tRNA from 1 species